rnacentral:rRNA from 1 species
GACGUAGGGCGCGAGCGUUGUCCGGAUUUAUUGGGCGUAAAGAGCUCGUAGGCGGCUCGUUGCGUCGGCUGUGAAAACCCGCAGCUCAACUGUGGGCUUGCAGCUGAUACGGGCGGGCUGGGAUUCGGUAGGGGAGACUGGAAUUCCUGGUGUAGCGGUGAAAUGCGCAGAUAUCAGGAGGAACACCGGUGGCGAAGGCGGGUCUCUGGGCCGAUAUCGACGCUGAGGAGCGAAAGCUUGGGGAGCGAACAGG